CAUUANUCUAAUAAACNUGGGGNUUGGNNUGAAUUUCAAAACCCAUCUGUGUACCUUACCUGUUGCUUCCGUGCUGCGUGUGCAGCAAAGUGCACUCUCCAAGGCCUACGCUCCCAGUGAGGAGGUGACCUUGGAGUGUCGGCACGGAAGGUCUUACCGCAAACUCUUGCAUUUCCAUGUUUUCUGUCUGAACUGUCAUACAAAAUAAGUUAAAACUUUC
rnacentral:rRNA from 1 species